rnacentral:rRNA from 1 species
UACGUAGGUGGCAAGCGUUGUCCGGAAUUAUUGGGCGUAAAGCGCGCGCAGGUGGUUUCUUAAGUCUGAUGUGAAAGCCCACGGCUCAACCGUGGAGGGUCAUUGGAAACUGGGGAACUUGAGUGCAGAAGAGGAAAGUGGAAUUCCACGUGUAGCGGUGAAAUGCGUAGAGAUGUGGAGGAACACCAGUGGCGAAGGCGACUUUCUGGUCUGUAACUGACACUGAGGCGCGAAAGCCAGGGGAGCGAACGGG